UACGUAGGCAGCGAGCGUUGUUCGGAGUUACUGGGCGUAAAGCGCACGCAGGCGGUCUGUUAAGUUUGGAGUGACAGUUGGUGGCUCAACCACCAAAGUGCUUUGAAAACUGAUAGACUUGAGGGCUUCAGAGGGACACGGAAUUCCGGGUGGAGUGGUGAAAUGCGUAGAGAUCCGGAGGAACACCAAAGGCGAAGGCAGUGUCCUGGGGAGUACCUGACGGCUCAGGGUGCGAAAGCCAGGGGA
rnacentral:rRNA from 1 species